ACUCCUACGGGGGGCAACAGUAGGGAAUUUUCGUCAAUGGGCGCAAGCCUGAACGAGCAAUGCCGCGUGAACGAGGAAGGUCUUCGGAUCGUAAAGUUCUGUUGAAGGGGAAAAAGAGCGGAGAGAGGAAAUGGUCUCCGAUUGAUAUUACCCUUCGAGGAAGUCACGGCUAACUACGUGCCAGCAGCCGCGGUAAUACGUAGGUGGCGAGCGUUAUCCGGAAUGAUUGGGCGUAAAGGGUGCGUAGGCGGCCUGGCAAGCCUGAUGUGAAAUACCGGGGCCCAACCCCGGGGCUGCAUUGGGAA
rnacentral:rRNA from 1 species